rnacentral:rRNA from 1 species
AGAGUUUGAUCAUGGCUCAGGACGAACGCUGGCGGCGUGCCUAAUACAUGCAAGUAGAACGCUGAAGAGAGGAGCUUGCUCUUCUUGGAUGAGUUGCGAACGGGUGAGUAACGCGUAGGUAACCUGCCUUGUAGCGGGGGAUAACUAUUGGAAACGAUAGCUAAUACCGCAUAACAAUGGAUGACACAUGUCAUUUAUUUGAAAGGGGCAAUUGUUCCACUACAAGAUGGACCUGCGUUGUAUUAGCUAGUAGGUGAGGUAAUGGCUCACCUAGGCGACGAUACAUAGCCGACCUGAGAGGGUGAUCGGCCACACUGGGACUGAGACACGGCCCAGACUCCUACGGGAGGCAGCAGUAGGGAAUCUUCGGCAAUGGGGGCAACCCUGACCGAGCAACGCCGCGUGAGUGAAGAAGGUUUUCGGAUCGUAAAGCUCUGUUGUAAGUCAAGAACGGGUGUGAGAGUGGAAAGUUCACACUGUGACGGUAGCUUACCAGAAAGGGACGGCUAACUACGUGCCAGCAGCCGCGGUAAUACGUAGGUCCCGAGCGUUGUCCGGAUUUAUUGGGCGUAAAGCGAGCGCAGGCGGUUUGAUAAGUCUGAAGUUAAAGGCUGUGGCUCAACCAUAGUUCGCUUUGGAAACUGUCAAACUUGAGUGCAGAAGGGGAGAGUGGAAUUCCAUGUGUAGCGGUGAAAUGCGUAGAUAUAUGGAGGAACACCGGUGGCGAAAGCGGCUCUCUGGUCUGUAACUGACGCUGAGGCUCGAAAGCGUGGGGAGCGAACAGGAUUAGAUACCCUGGUAGUCCACGCCGUAAACGAUGAGUGCUAGGUGUUGGAUCCUUUCCGGGAUUCAGUGCCGCAGCUAACGCAUUAAGCACUCCGCCUGGGGAGUACGACCGCAAGGUUGAAACUCAAAGGAAUUGACGGGGGCCCGCACAAGCGGUGGAGCAUGUGGUUUAAUUCGAAGCAACGCGAAGAACCUUACCAGGUCUUGACAUCCCGAUGCUAUUUCUAGAGAUAGAAAGUUACUUCGGUACAUCGGUGACAGGUGGUGCAUGGUUGUCGUCAGCUCGUGUCGUGAGAUGUUGGGUUAAGUCCCGCAACGAGCGCAACCCCUAUUGUUAGUUGCCAUCAUUCAGUUGGGCACUCUAGCGAGACUGCCGGUAAUAAACCGGAGGAAGGUGGGGAUGACGUCAAAUCAUCAUGCCCCUUAUGACCUGGGCUACACACGUGCUACAAUGGUUGGUACAACGAGUUGCGAGUCGGUGACGGCGAGCUAAUCUCUUAAAGCCAAUCUCAGUUCGGAUUGUAGGCUGCAACUCGCCUACAUGAAGUCGGAAUCGCUAGUAAUCGCGGAUCAGCACGCCGCGGUGAAUACGUUCCCGGGCCUUGUACACACCGCCCGUCACACCACGAGAGUUUGUAACACCCGAAGUCGGUGAGGUAACCUUUUGGAGCCAGCCGCCUAAGGUGGGACAGAUGAUUGGGGUGAAGUCGUAACAAGGUA